ACUGCUCAGUAACACGUGAGUAGCUGUCCUAGGGAGGGGGAUAACGCCUGGAAACGGGUGCUAAAACCCCAUAAGCCUCGAAAGAGGUAAAAGUGCAUCACUGCAGUCCUAGGGUGUGCUCGCGGCCUAUCAGCUAGUUGGUGAGGUAAGGACUCACCAAGGCCAAGACGGGUAGCCGGCCUGAGAGGGUGUACGGCCACACUGGAAUUGAGAUACGGUCCAGACUCCUACGGGAGGCAGCAGUGGGGAAUUUUGGGCAAUGGGCGAAAGCCUGACCCAGCGACGCCGCGUUGGGGAUGAAGUCCUUCGGGGCGUAAACCCAUGUUGUAGGGGAAGAAGAAAGUGACGGUACCCUACGAGAAAGCCCCGGCCAACUACGUGCCAGCAGCCGCGGUAAAACGUAGGGGGCGAGCGUUGUCCGGAAUUACUGGGCGUAAAGGGCAUGCAGGCGGUGCGCCAAGUCGGGGGUGUAAAGUUACGGCUCAACCGUGACCUUGCAAUCGAAACUGGCGCACUGGAGUGCGGGAGAGGGAAGUGGAAUUCCCGGUGUAGCGGUGAAAUGCGUAGAUAUCGGGAGGAACGCCAGUGGCGAAGGCGGCUUCCUGGCCCGCGACUGACGCUCAUGUGCGAAAGCCAGGGGAGCGAACCGGAUUGAUACCCGGGUAGUCCUGGCCGUAAACGAUGGGUGCUAGGUGUAGGCGCGUCAAGCGUCUGUGCCGAAGUUAACGCGAUAAGCACCUCGCCUGGGGAGUACGGUCGCAAGGCUGAAACUCA
rnacentral:rRNA from 1 species